rnacentral:rRNA from 1 species
UAGGGAAUCUUCCGCAAUGGGCGAAAGCCUGACGGAGCAACGCCGCGUGAGUGAUGAAGGUCUUCGGAUCGUAAAACUCUGUUAUUAGGGAAGAACAAAUGUGUAAGUAACUAUGCACGUCUUGACGGUACCUAAUCAGAAAGCCACGGCUAACUACGUGCCAGCAGCCGCGGUAAUACGUAGGUGGCAAGCGUUAUCCGGAAUUAUUGGGCGUAAAGCGCGCGUAGGCGGUUUUUUAAGUCUGAUGUGAAAGCCCACGGCUCAACCGUGGAGGGUCAUUGGAAACUGGAAAACUUGAGUGCAGAAGAGGAAAGUGGAAUUCCAUGUGUAGCGGUGAAAUGCGCAGAGAUAUGGAGGAACACCAGUGGCGAAGGCGACUUUCUGGUCUGUAACUGACGCUGAUGUGCGAAAGCUUGGGGAUCAAACAGG